UACGGGGGGGGCAAGCGUUGUUCGGAAUUACUGGGCGUAAAGGGCUCGUAGGUGGCCAACUAAGUCAGACGUGAAAUCCCUCGGCUUAACCGGGGAACUGCGUCUGAUACUGGAUGGCUUGAGUUUGGGAGAGGGACGCGGAAUUCCAGGUGUAGCGGUGAAAUGCGUAGAUAUCUGGAGGAACACCGGUGGCGAAGGCAGCCCCCUGGGCUAACACUGACGCUCAUGCACGAAAGCGUGGGGAGCAAACAGG
rnacentral:rRNA from 1 species